GACGAACGCUGGCGGCGUGCUUAACACAUGCAAGUCGAACGGAAAGGCCCUGCUUUUGUGGGGUGCUCGAGUGGCGAACGGGUGAGUAACACGUGAGUAACCUGCCCUUGACUUUGGGAUAACUUCAGGAAACUGGGGCUAAUACCGGAUAGGAGCUCCUGCUGCAUGGUGGGGGUUGGAAAGUUUCGGCGGUUGGGGAUGGACUCGCGGCUUAUCAGCUUGUUGGUGGGGUAGUGGCUUACCAAGGCUUUGACGGGUAGCCGGCCUGAGAGGGUGACCGGCCACAUUGGGACUGAGGUACGGCCCAGAGUCCUACGGGGGGCAGCAGUGGGGAAUAUUGCACAAUGGGCGGAAGCCUGAUGCAGCAACGCCGCGUGCGGGAUGACGGCCUUCGGGUUGUAAACCGCUUUCGCCUGUGACGAAGCGUGAGUGACGGUAAUGGGUAAAGAAGCACCGGCUAACUACGUG
rnacentral:rRNA from 1 species